rnacentral:lncRNA from 10 species
GGCACGGAGAGGAUUGAUUCGGUUUGCAACCCUACGAGGUCGUGGCCGCUCGGGGCAGGAAAGCAGGCUCCUGUCUCUCCAGGAUCCAGCCUCCCGAUCACCGCGCUAGUCCUCGCCCUGCCUGGGCUUCCCCAGAGACGGGAGCUUGGGUGGGGGACCCUGGACCCGAAGCCAAGGCUGAACUGGUGUGCCAAGCCCAGGGAGCAACCAAGUCCCCAACUCUUUCCCUGCCCUUCCCGCAGGCUGAGCAGAAAACCAGGAAAUGGAUGGACUCCACCUCCGCAGCCACGCCUGCCCGUUUGCGCUUACUGAACAGAGGUCCUCAGGAACGUGAGCCCCUCUUCUUGGGCCUGCGAUUCCUCACCUGGAAGGGAGAAGAGUGGACUUCCUGCCUAGAGAACACCUUGGUAAACUCUUUGUGGUUCCUGUCAUGAGAAGGUGUGCAGCUUAGGGAAAAAGCCUGUGAGCUCUGGAAUCAGAUGGAACUGGAUAUGAAUUUCCAUUUAGUGCUUGUUGGAUUAAAUGUGAUGCUACUUCUCCCAGCCGAAAGAAUAAAACUGGUAAGAGGAAGGGAAAUGCAGCCUCAGUAAGGAGGCCUCCAUUCUGGAAGGGCUUCCCAGGCCCAGAGAAGGGAGAAAGUAAUUUGGAACCACCCAAGUAUUGGUGAUGCCAGGCCUCACCCUACCCUGGGGAUAUUUGAAUCUCAAAAAGGGAGCAUGGGAAUCUGACAAAGCACUUGCAUGUAUAAAGAACUCCUCCAAAUCAACAAGGCAAAAACCUCAUUAGAUACAUAGGCAAAAACCUCAGAAGAGCCACAUCACAAAGGAGCACCUCCAAAUGGCCAAGAAGCAUAUGAAAAUAUGUUCAAUCUCAUUAGCCAACAGGGAAUUCAAAUUAGAACUACACCAGGAUGGCUGAAAGUGCAAAGACUGACAAUAUCAAGGGCUGGUGGGGAUGCAGAACAACUGGAACUCUCCUAUGCACUGCGGAAGGGGUAAAUUAAUACCGCCCCUUUGGAAGAACAGUUUAGAAGCAUCACUAAAGCUGAAUAUAUUCAUGCCUACUCCGGAAAUCCUGAGCCCAGGUAUAUAUCUAACAGAAGUUUGUUUAUAAAGGCACCAAAAGUCAAUUACACAAGAUACAAGAAUGUUCAUAGUAGAGCCGUUUGUAUUAGUCAUAAACUGGAAACCACCCAAAUGCCCAUCAGUGUGGCUCCCUUUGAAGAACUGCCUUGGGGUUCAUGUUGCAGCAUCAAACAGGGAUGGAAGAUGCAUCUUGCUUUAGCAGCAGGAGCCUGGAAAGCAGCUGAAGCCCUGGAGGGUGCCUGGCACACAGAAUCUUGUGCUGAGCCCGGAGCACAAUGGGAGCGGGCUGGCGGGGUGGGUUCACAGCUGGACUGGGAGCAGCAGACAUACAGGCCGUAGGCACAGACAUAUAAAGACAGUCAUGCAGAUUGCAGGAUGCCUGAGAGCACAGACUCUCACAUGCACAAAUACGUGCAUGAUCGCCAGUGUGCAUCCAGACAGCCCCACAUGCAUGCACACGCAUGCACACAUGUGAUGUGUACAUAGAUGGACACAUGUCUAUGCCCACAAACACUGCAGAGACACAGAAGUGUCUGGCAAGGAACACUAUUUUGUCCUCAAUUUUCUGCCAGUGAGAGUCUACUGACUCCAUCUCUGAAAUGUCUCUACUUAUUGUCCCUCUUCUCCACCUGCACCACAUCCCUAGUCCCUGAAACUCCCACCGAGACCCCUGGGCAAUAGCAAAGUCUGCACAGGAUUCCUGCUCCGCCUCUACCCCACCCUUAAGCCCAUCCUACAUGCAAGAGCAGGAGUUAUCUGGGUAUCAAGCAAAUCUGACCACAUCACCUCCCCACUGCUUAAAACCCUUUCCUACAGGAUGAAGUUGAAAUCACUUGACAUCCCAUAUAAGGCCCUUGACUGUCUGGCAUCAGCCAUAGUCUGGCCUCAGGCCCUGGCAUGGAGUCCCCUGGACUCAGUGCUCUGGCUGAGGGCCUCCAGGAUGAAGAUACCCUGUGCAAAGCCUCACACUUUUGCUGUUGCUGGGCUCACUGUGUGAAAUUCCCUCCUCCCUCCUUCCACCUUCCCUAUGCUGAACUGCCACUCCUCCAUCCUCCAUGGCCAGCUAAGCCAACACCUCCCCACUUCCUCCUGACAACCCAGGCACAGCCACUGACCUGUCCCAUGGCUGUCACAGCCCUUUCUUGGGCUCUCAAUGGUAUCAUUGUCACCUGUGUGCUCAUGAGCCUCUGCCACUCAACUCCAAGCACAUCAAAUAAAGAGCUCAAAACAUAUCGGAUACUCAACAAAUUUCUGGGUAUGAGUGAAUGAAUGAAUUAGUCUGUAAGACAGGAUCACACUAGGUGAUUGUUCUGGCUACAGAACCUGGGCAUGUCCUAUAUGUAACUCCUAUGAUCUCAGCCUCCACAUAGGUAAAAAAGGGCUCUCUAUCUCCUGGCAGAAUCUAUGGUUCAGACCAUGGAGAUGUAUAUAAAUAACUGAGCUGAACGGCUAACAUGGUGGGCGCUCCACAGAUGACAGCCAUAGUUACUGUCUUUAACUUCUACUUUUAUUUCCAGUGAAGUCUUUCCACUCAUGUUUCUUAAUUCUCCAUCUCCCUCACUGCCUAUCCAGUUCAGUGCUGGACUCCUGGAACCAGCUCAUUGAAGGUGCAUUGUCGGAUUGAUCAGCUGAAUGGCUUCUUAAGGCUUGUUUCCAACCUGAGAACUCUGAGCUGAGUACUGUUCUUCCUCCCUCCCAGCCUCCCCUGAGACUGAAAGCUGAGAGCCAUACAGAGAUCACUCCUCUUCCAGGCUCCAGAAGCUGAACAUCUGCUCCGUUUGGAGUUCUAUGCACUGAGCUGAGUUAGGACCUGGGGGGACAGGAACAGCUGAGCCUUUCUGCUCCAAAAGGCAGAGUCAUUUCAGCCAGCCACCCAGCAGCUGCCUAGCCCCUCCCAGACACCCCCAGGGAUGCUGCACAUGUGGCUAGGGUUCCCAUAGGAACCUCUGUGGAGACCUGCCAUCCCUGCUUCCCCACAUCUCCUUUUGGACUCGUGAGAGAGGUUAGGAGGAGGAGGGGAGGGGAAAGGACAGGACUGCCAGGCACUUUCAUACACAAACACCCAGUCUCUUAAUCCUCACAAUAACUCUAAGAAAUAUGCUAUUGUUAUCCUUGUGGUACUGACAAGGAAAUUGAGGCCCAAAGACAUCUAACCCAAGUUCACCCAGGUAACAAACAAGAGAACUGGUCUGCCACCUUAUCAGUUUGUACUGACACAGUAUCAGUCAGUACCAGCCAGGGAUCUCUGGUUGCAAGCCACAGAAACCAACUCCCACUAUCACAAGCAAAAAAAUUGCUGAAGGACUGUGGUGCCACACCAGAAGGAAAGGAAAAGCUGAAGACACAUGAUUGGAAAGGACAGGAAGAAGGGCAGCGUCAGGAUCUGGGUGCCAGGAACGGACCAUCAUUUCAUUGGAAUAAAUAAACUUCUAUUUUUAAAUUCUUUUGUCUCUCCAUUUAGGAUUCAGGUUUGGGGAGGAAGCUGGGCCCAGUGCCACUUGUUGGCUGGAAGAGGACAGACUACUGUAAUUGACAGUCCUACCAAGCCUAUAUUCAAUGGGAUAGGGACUGCCCCUCCCUCCAAAUUGGGAUGCUGUUUCCAGAAGAAAGGGGAAUGAAUCCUAGGCAGGCGGAAUCCCAAGCUCACCUGACUGCACCAUGCUGUGAUGGGCUGCAGGGUGGGACAGUUUCUAUGGCUCUCUCUAACGGAACUAGACCCACUCAGG